rnacentral:sRNA from 1 species
ACCUACCACUGCUAAUCUAUGCCGCUGCCAACCUAUCUAUCGCUGCUAAUCUAUCGCUGCUGCCAACCUAUCUACCGCUGCCAACCUACCUAUCGCUGCCAAUCUAUCUACCACUGCUAAUCUAUCGCUGCUAAUCUAUCGCUGCUAAUCUAUCGCUGCUAAUCUAUCUAUCACUGCUAAUCUAUCGCUGCCAACCUACCUACCGCUGCCAACCUAUCUACCACUGCCAAUCUACCUACCGCUGCCAACCUACCUACCACUGCUAAUCUAUCACUGCUAAUCUAUCGCUGCUAAUCUAUUGCUGCUAAUCUAUCGCUGCUAAUCUAUUGCUGCUAAUCUAUCUAUCACUGCUAAUCUAUCGCUGCCAACCUACCUACCGCUGCCAACCUACCUACCGCUGCCAACCUACCUACCACUGCUAAUCUAUCACUGCUAAUCUAUCGCUGCCAACCUAUAUAGGGUAAAUCAUGGUCCCAUUUGGUCCCAUUUUGUAAAAUGGGACCAAAUGGGACUGGGACCACUAAUUUAUUAGUAAAACAUGAUCUGGGACUAGAUUUAUAAUAUAAACAGUGUAAAGUGACUAAUUUACUAAACACUAUAUGGGACCAGGACUAAGAUAUCUAAUAAUGGGACUGAGGAAAAAUUUGGUCCCAGUCCCAUGCAUGGUCACACGGCCAGUCUAACAGAAAGUGACAUGUCAGAAUAUGGAAAUACCUCAAAUUAGUUCACUUUUUAUUUUCACUUUUUGUUUUCAUUUUUUGUUUUUUUGAUGAUAUCCAUGAAUGUUGAUGUUUUUAAAUUUUUUUUUUUCUUUUUGAUUUUGAAUUUUUUUUUUUUUUUUUUUUAGUUAAUCAAAAUAAAAAUGAUAUGUUUCUGCUGC